AUUGAACGCUGGCGGCAUGCUUUACACAUGCAAGUCGAACGGUAACAGGGAGCUUGCUCCGCUGACGAGUGGCGAACGGGUGAGUAAUGCGUCGGAACGUGCCGAGUAGUGGGGGAUAACGCAUCGAAAGGUGUGCUAAUACCGCAUACGUACUGAGGUAGAAAGUGGGGGACCUUCGGGCCUCACGCUAUUCGAUCGGCCGACGUCUGAUUAGCUAGUUGGUGAGGUAAAGGCUCACCAAGGCGACGAUCAGUAGCGGGUCUGAGAGGAUGAUCCGCCACACUGGGACUGAGACACGGCCCAGACUCCUACGGGAGGCAGCAGUGGGGAAUUUUGGACAACGGGCGCAAGCCUGAUCCAGCAAUGCCGCGUGUCUGAAGAAGGCCUUCGGGUUGUAAAGGACUUUUGUCCGGGAGCAAAUGCCUGGUGUUAAUAGCAUCGGGAGCUGAGAGUACCGGAAGAAUAAGCACCGGCUAACUACGUGCCAGCCGCCGCAGUAACAC
rnacentral:rRNA from 1 species